UCUUUUUUUGUUUCUUGUUUUUUUUUUGUUUUUCGAGACAGGGUUUCUCUGUAUAGCCCUGGCUGUCCUGGAACUCACUUUGUAGACCAGGCUGGCCUCGAACUCAGAGAUCCACUUGCCUCUGCCUCCUGAGUGCUGGGAUUAAAGGCGUGCGCCACCACGCCUGGCUAAGGCAGAGGAGUCUUAAAGGAGCUAGAAAGAACAGGAACAAUUACUGUGCACUUUCAAAGCCAAGAGAGAAAGAAAACAUCUCAAUUUGAGAAGAGUGUAAAGAGAACACUAAUGAUAAGUUUAUUGGUAACUUCUAACCAAUCAUUGUCAAUUAAAUUGUAGUGAUAAAAAGAAAAUUGUCAGUGAUUCAAGAAAGAAGGAGUAUUAAAGAAAUGGUAAAAGCAUAGAUUCAUCUUUGCACUGAUUUUGGUAAGAGGAAAGAAAGUAGAUUGCAGUAGUUCAGAGAGAUUUUUUGAGGUGGAAACAUGUUGAACAUGUUCAUAGAUUAUGGAGCAGGCAUCCAGAUACAGAGGGAAAUUUUGAAUAUUCAAGAAAAAAAGAUACAAGUAAAUUUAGAGAAAGAAAAAAAAAAAAACUGGAUACCUGAAAGGGCGCUAGCUCUUGAAAUGGCCUUUGAUCUAGGCAAAGAUGUAUUCUGAAUAGGCUUUCAAACAGUGAGCUGAGACCUUGAACCUUGACGUUACCUACAUUUAUUUAUAAACAUUGCCCUUGUUUCCUAAUAGUUAAGGAGGAUGAAGUAUGGGGGAGAAGAUAAUAAUUGUAUUGUGUCAACUAGAAAUGAUAAACAAUUUACCAGAGUUGCAUGAAUUACAGUAGACUCAUUUGGCUUAGGUUUCAUGACUUAAUAGAGUUACCUUCAGAAGAAAUAUACAGAAAAUAGUUUAUGAAAUAGGGCAGAGAAUGAUAAAAUGUGUACAGUGAAAGAAAAGGUAAAUUAUAAAAUAUGGGUUGAUCCUAGAUUCUGUACAGAACUAGAUAAAUGGAAAAAAACAUAAAGCUUGAAAAAAUAAAGAGAAAACAGAAUACUAGAGGUGUUGAGAAAAUGAAGCAGAAGUUUAGAAUUCAUGAAGAAAUAGGAAUGCUUAAAAUAUCAAAGUAGAAUACAUAAUGAACAACAUUGCUCUAUCUGCAAGUAAUGUACUACCAGUUGCCAAUUUACCACUAGAUGUCACUCUGACUCAUAUGGUUAAGUGCAGCCUGGACUUAAGAGGCAGGGUGUUGAAAAUCAGACAAGUACAGUGUGCGCAGAUACCCCUGGUGGCCUGUAAGGACUGUUCUACUCAGUUUCUCAUGCGGGCGUUUUAGUCAAACAGCUGCUUUGGAGAGGAUAGUGUCUUUAUAACAAAGCAAACCAUUAAAUCUGGAUAUUUUGUAUGAUUAAAUGCUGUCUUUAUGUUGAUUUUUUUUUUGUUUUACUGUGUUAAUCACAUUAAUUUUUUUGACCUGUGUACUUUAAAAAGUUUAAAAUUAUGCAUGAAAAUCUAUAAAGAUAUUUUCUCUCAAUAUUUAAUUAUUUGUUUGCUAAAUUUUUUAUGGUUUUACAUGGAGUAAUAGCUGUUUAUUGGUACUAACAAAAGUGUUUAUUUGUAAGUGGUCAUGAUUAAGCAUGUUGACACUAAGCCUGCAAAUGUAAAACUUGAAUUCUCUCAAUUUUCUAGUAGAACAAACACUAAUAAAACUAAAGGAGUGAUGUUUAGAAAGUAUGUCAGAUUUGUCACCUACCCACAACUUUUUUCAGCUGCUUCUUUCAAAGUCUCGAACUAUUUGGAAAGCUUUGCAAUAUGAUUAUUUUCAAAUAUAAAAAUACACAAAAGCAAGUAUUAAUAUAUCUCCAGAAUAACAGUAUUCAGGUACACUAUGUAGAUUAUAAAAUACAUUUAUGUUGUUCUUUUCUGCUUAUUAAUAUUUUCCCUUUGAUAGAGAGUAGUUAUAAAAUUAUUUUACACUACUAGAAUUGCUGAAUUGCAGAGUAUAUGGUAGAAAAUAAACUGUCACAGGUUUUUGCCUGUGAUUUACCUAAUGAUAUAUUUCAUUGUUUCCUUACAGUCCUCUUUUUAUUGGUAAGAUAUCACAGUUACGUAAGAAAUUGUGAUCUGUUACUAUAUUAAAUAAUUUUUAGGUGUGUUAGCAAAACAACAUUCCUUGUUGUAAGUAAGGCAUCUUAUACUAUCUCUCUUAAGUUUUAGUAGGUUUAGUUUAUCAGGAAAGCCCUUUGCACAAGUACAGACUCUGUGGCAGAGAUUGGUAAGACACAAGGAAAGAAAAACAUACCUUCUUUAGAGUAACUGAGCUGAAAAUAGACUGAAGAUACCUUUGAUAUUCAACAUAAAAUUGCUUAUUAUACUCGCUGAUUAGGAACUUAAUUGUAAAUUGUGUGUUAGGACAAAAUUCUAGGUACUAGUUUAGUAUUGUGCUCUAUGGAGAUAUCCUCCUUUAAGCUCUUCAUUUUCUCUGGGUUGGUGGAGAUGAUUUUGCCUUUGGGACUGACUGUGAGCUUGCUGCACUGGUUGAGCUAUGAGAGUGUAAUGGUAAAGCAACAGGACAAAAGCCAGUUGAACUUUCCCACCAGCGCUCUGAAUUCUGCUUCUGUAAAAUUGUGUUGAAGCAGUCAUUAUGAAAUCUAUGAUUCUGAUUUUAAAAGAGCAUUUUCUAUAUCAAUACUCAGUAUUGGUAAAUAAGAUGUGAAAGUGCUUUUUAAAUUAACUCUUGAAAUUAUUCUAAUAUCUUUUUAGCCUUAAAUUCAUCUUGCCAUGUAACUUUCAAAAUGACGUUUUUGUUAUUGUUUUUUUUUUUAACAAGGAAAAAGUAUUCGUUUUAUUUCUUUAGAAUUUUACAGUUAAACUAUUAUAUCUUCCUUUUUACAGUAUUUGUCCUUGUUGUGCCAGGAGCAGUGAGUUAGAUAGUACUAGCUGUCUAUGUCCUCUGUCUCUCAUCUCUAAGGGCUUUCACCUUUAUUAGGAACAAAUCUAGAUUUCUUUUUGUUGUUUGUUUGUUUGUUUGCUUGCUUGCUUGCUUGCUUGCUUGAAAUGGCUUCCUGGGAAUGUAAAAACCCCUUUGACAUUAUUAUUUAGGGCCUCCUAUCCUCCCAGUGCACUUAUAGUCUUAACACAAAAACUUUGCAGCUGGUGAACUCCCGAAGCCCCUUUUGAUGAUUGUUGUUUAACUCAGCAUGGCAGCUUGCUAUAGUUCCUGUCCUAUACUGGCUCACUUCACCUCAUGUUCAGACUCCUCAUGACAAAGAAGUCUCCAGAGGUAAAACACAGGGCGAGAUUUCAGAUGCUGCUUUGUCACUGUUCUCUGGCUCAUUUUCACUUUAACAUUAAGCAUAUUCACAAAGUUUACUGACACAGUCAAGGGAAAGAGCACCCUCUCCACUGUUCUGAUAAACUUCUCAUAUUUUUACAAAACCAAAUCAAACUGUUGACAGUCC
rnacentral:lncRNA from 1 species